rnacentral:misc_RNA from 1 species
AGAAGUAAAAGUCGUAACAAGGUUUCCGUAGGUGAACCUGCGGAAGGAUCAUUAUUGAAUUCCAAUUGGAUGAGAUAGCUGCUGGCUUUCGGGCAUGUGCACAUCUUGUUCUUUUACCUCUCACCUCUGUGCACUUUUCAUGGAACGGUCGGUGGUUGUUGGCUUCACGGCUGACGACCGCAGGUUGCUUCUGUGUACUUUAUAAACCUCAGAAUCAGUUUAGAAUGUAUAUCGUGUACCCACACAUUUAAAUACAACUUUCAGCAACGGAUCUCUUGGCUCUC